CUCAUAUUACGGUAGGAAGAGAAUGUUCCGUUGCUAAAUUAAUUUUUCUCUUCCAAAAUCAUCGUGAAGGCUGACUUCAGCUGAAGAAAAAGAGGUUAAGUCAAAGUUUGAUUGGCGUGGUAGAAGACAAGAUGGUUGACCGUGAGCACAGACGAACGGCUUUGUAUUCUGGACUUCUCGUGAAACGGGACACAACACUCGUCGACCGCCAACUAGGCGGAGAGGGACAAGUUUUUUUAGAUCUCAAAUCGCGGCCUUUCACAAUUUUACUGUAUUAUUUUUUUUUAUAACAAUCACACAAGAUACACUCGUUUUUUUUUCAACAUUAUCAUUCGACAAAUGAAAAAAUUGUCGCGUUUCGUGUCUCAAUCGCGUUUAACUCGGAAAAGGGACGAGAUGAAAGAAAACGGCGCAUCUGUCGUUUCUCAAUAUCAUUUUUAUGUUUCGAUGUACAAAAGUAUCAACGUUCUUACCUGUAAAAUCUAGUGCUAAUACACAAAAUACGGAAUAA